UACGGAGGGUGCAAGCAUUGAUCGGAAUUACUGGGCGUAAAGGGCGCGUAGGCGGCUGGAUAAGUCAGAUGUGAAAUUCCACAGCUCAACUGUGGAGCUGCAUUUGAAACUGUCUUGCUAGAGCAUAACUAGGGAAAACGGAAUUCCACAUGUAGCGGUGAAAUGCGUAGAUAUGUGGAGGAACACCGGUGGUGAAGACGGUUUUCUGGGUUAUAGCUGACGCUGAGGCGCGAAAGCGUGGGGAGCAAACAGG
rnacentral:rRNA from 1 species